UGGGUCGGUCAUGAUUAUGACCCUAUUCCACAGUCUUGAUGAGAAUAUUUAUGCUAUCUUUUUAAAUGUUCGAAAUUCAGCCCAUAAAAGGCUGGAUAAAGGUGGAUGGGUUAGGUAACAGGGUUGUUCCCCGGUCCUAGUUAGACUGGGGAUGCCUAUUAUGACAAGGACCAGGGUCAGGUCAUGUUAUGACAGGUGACGGAAAAUUAGGGUUCGAUUCCAUAGAGGUAGCCUGAGAAAUGGCUACCACAUCCAAGGAAGGCAGUAGGCGCGUAAAUUACCCAAUCCUGACACGGGGAGGUAGUGAUAAUAAAUAACAAUACCGGACUUAAUGAGUCUGGUAAUUGGAAUGAGUACAAUCUAAAUCCCUUAACGAGGAUCAAUUGGAGAGAAAUUUUGGUGCUAGUAUUCACGGUAAUUCUAGGUCCAAUAGUGUAUAUUUAAGUUGUUAUUGUUAAAAAGCUCAUAGUUGAACUUUGGGAUGGGCUGGCCGGUACACCUAUGGUGUGCACCGGUCGUUUCAUCCCUUAUGUCGGUGAUGCUCUCCUGGCCUUAACUGGCGGGUCGUACCUCUGACACUGUUAAUUUGAAGAAAUUAGAGUGGUCAAAGCAAGCCCACACUCUGUAUACAAUAACAUAAGAUAACAUUAUAGGAUUUUUGGUCUAUUAUGUUGGCCUUCGGGAUUGGAGUAAUGAUUAACAGGGAUAGUCAGGGGCAUUUGUAUUUCAUAGUCAGAGGUGCAAAUCUUGGAUUUAUGAAAGAUGAAAAACUGCGAAAGUAUUUUCCAAGGAUGUUUUAUUUAAUCAAAAACAAAAGUUGGGGAUCGAAGAUGAUCAGAUAAUGUUCUAGUCUCAACUAUAAAUGAUGCCAACUAGGGAUCCGCGGAUAUUGCUUUUAGGACUCCGCCAACACCUUACGAGAUAUCAAAGUUUUUGGUUUCCA
rfam:Capsicum annuum cultivar Zunla-1 chromosome 2, whole genome shotgun sequence